rnacentral:lncRNA from 1 species
CGAAGUCCCGGCGCAGGGUGGUGGGCGGGGCCAGCGCGGAGAUUGACAGGGGAUGUCCUGGGGCGGCACUCGCGUGGCGCAGAAUGAGAGGCUGGUCCCGAGCAGCGAAAGGAGGGAUUCUUCAGCCUCGGGGCGCCUGGGUGGCACAGCGGUUAAGCGUCUGCCUUCGGCUCAGGGCGUGAUCCGGGCGUUAUAGGAUCGAGCCCCGCAUCAGGCUCCUCCGCUAUGAGCC